GACGAACGCUGGCGGCGUGCUUAACACAUGCAAGUCGGACGGUAAGGCCCUUCGGGGUACACGAGUGGCGAACGGGUGAGUAACACGUGGGUGAUCUGCCCUGCACUUCGGGAUAAGCCUGGGAAACUGGGUCUAAUACCAGAUAGGACCACUGCCUGCAUGGGUGGUGGUGGAAAGCUUUUGCGGUGUGGGAUGGGCCCGCGGCCUAUCAGCUUGUUGGUGGGGUGAUGGCCUACCAAGGCGACGACGGGUAGCCGGCCUGAGAGGGUGACCGGCCACACUGGGACUGAGAUACGGCCCAGACUCCUACGGGAGGCAGCAGUGGGGGAUAUUGCACAAUGGGCGCAAGCCUGAUGCAGCGACGCCGCGUGAGGGAUGACGGCCUUCGGGUUGUAAACCUCUUUCAGCACCGACGAAGCGCAAGUGACGGUAGGUGCAGAAGAAGGACCGGCCAACUACGUGCCAGCAGCCGCGGUAAGAC
rnacentral:rRNA from 1 species